CCUACGGGAGGCUGCAGUGGGGAAUAUUGGACAAUGGGGGCAACCCUGAUCCAGCCAUGCCGCGUGUGUGAAGAAGGCCCUCGGGUUGUAAAGCACUUUCAGUGAGGAAGAACGCCUGGUGGUUAAUACCCAUCAGGAAAGACAUCACUCACAGAAGAAGCACCGGCUAACUCCGUGCCAGCAGCCGCGGUAAUACGGAGGGUGCGAGCGUUAAUCGGAAUUACUGGGCGUAAAGCGCGCGUAGGUGGCUUGAUAAGCCGGUUGUGAAAGCCCCGGGCUCAACCUGGGAACGGCAUCCGGAACUGUCAAGCUAGAGUGCAGGAGAGGAAGGUAGAAUUCCCGGUGUAGCGGUGAAAUGCGUAGAGAUCGGGAGGAAUACCAGUGGCGAAGGCGGCCUUCUGGACUGAAACUGACACUGAGGUGCGAAAGCGUGGGUAGCAAACAGGAUUAGAUACCCUAGUAGUC
rnacentral:rRNA from 1 species